GCGGCACCUGCGGCCGCCGCGGCGCGCCUGCACGCCGCUCGUAGCGCCUGCACACCGCUCGUAGCGCCUGCACAGCGCUUGUAGCGCCUGCACAGCGCUCGGCGCGGCUCGGCGGGGCACGGGCGGCGCGAGUGAAGCCCUUUUUGAUUCACAUCCAGUUGUAUCAUGACUACACUAAAGACAAACCAUACUACUGCGUGAAUAACUUUGGAUUAUCUCUUGCAGUUCAUGUAAUGAAUGACUGUCUACAUCAUCCAAAUCGGCAAAUAAAUAGUUGAUGUAUCAAAGACUUGUUUAAAAAGUCAAGAUUUGAUAUUACGUAGCUGAAAGACAUCUGGUGAUUAUAUUUCUCAUAUGUGUGUAAAUGUGAAGAGAGCAGUUCCUAGUGUUUGCCUCCCUACAGCCCUUCCACCUCAUGGCCUCAGGGGCAAAGACUGCUUUCCCAGCCUGCCUAGUAUGUGGCAUUAGAUGCUACAGCCUUGUUCUUGCAAACAUAUGCUGCUGCAAGCAAGAAAAAUCUAUUGUGUACAAGGGGGUUGACUGGGGUCCUCAGGAAGAUGGCUUAGUGUAAGUGGUAUGUUGAAAACAUCAUUCUUCUUGCAGAUCUUCAGCACAACAUACUGCCUUCAGUCGGAUGCUCACUGCUGCAUAGCCUGCUGCGCUUUGAGCCGAACAGCAUUUUCACAAAUGUCCUGCUGUCAUUACAGAAAUAUUUUAUAAGCCAUAUACUGAGAGCUGCAAUACACAAGAAGACUCCAGUCAUGCAGGAAUACAGAGCUGGACAUGCCUUGGUGUAUACUGCUAGCAGAUGGCCUUCCUUGUUUGUCUGUGGAGGAUACAGGUUUACUGGGGGGAAAAAAAUUAUUCUUUGUGCCCUGCAUUAUUCCUGAUCUAUGAGCAUCUGCAUCUGGCUUUGUGAUGGGGAUCCAGCUUUCUCUCUGGGAUGUACCUAGCUCUUUGUACACCCCAGAGUUUGGACUCUAAAGCAGAACUUCCUGUAAAAUAAUUUUUAUUGUUUCAACUUUAUUAAAGCACUUGAGUAAGUUAGUGCAUGAAUCCUGUAAUCCACAGAUUUUGGUGGAAUCUCCAUAAAAGGAUCUCAGACAGAAAAGUUUUCUCCAUCCUUAGUACCAUCCUUAUGGGAACUCUGUUCAAGAAAGGGGCAAGAAUCCUGCUGGAUGCUGUGAGAUGAUCUGCAAGAUGGGAGCUAUCUGCACUGAGGUUUCAUGUCUUUGCAGCAUUUAUAGUCUUUCAAAGGCUUGCUUCAUGUGGGAAUGGGAAGGUAUUUGGGGGUCUGCAGCAUGUAUAAUGAAAUAGAGAGUCACUUGUUCAUACAAGGAUACAAGCCAGAAUAUAUCCGUACAGGAGAAUAGAAUAAAAUUGUGGGUUUCUGUCUGCUGAAAAUACAUGCACAUGGGGGAAUAGCCCUACUGUGCUAGUGAUAACAUAGGAGCAAAGCACCCAGGAUGGUCUAAGGCUUAGGAAGGGUGCUGAAUUUUGUAGGGAACGUGAGCUGGCUCUUGAAACGCCUUUUUGCAUCAUGUUGGGGAAAACACGUUAGCAUUUGCUUUGUUUCCAUUUGUGACCUGCAGUCUCUGUUUUUUGCCAUAUGUGUUUGAGUUGAACUUCAGCUUUGGGGAAGUCAGGAAGCUGCAGACAGUAGGCAGGUAAGAAAGUGCACAACCUCUGUACAGAGCGGGAGUGUGAAGGGAAAGCUGGCAUUGCCACCUCACUUAAGCAAGUUCCCAUAGUCAAGUGGUUUAUGGUAUUAAAUAUUAUGCGUAAUUGUUUUAUUACAGCUAAUUAUUUUUAGCGAAGUCUCCACCUUGUUUUCUGGCCAUAACUGGUGAAUAUUUUUGAACAUGUGAUGUUUCCUGGAAAAAGCUGGAAAAUAUUGCCAAGAAGCUAAGUGAACCAGUUAGGCAUUGCCUUUACCUUAAAAUAUGACACAACAAGAAAAGGCAUCAUAUUACCUUUCCUUUUGGGAAUUGUGGCAGAUAUUGGCUCCCUGAGACUUUCCAACAUCAAUUCAGCUGUUAAUGCAUUUGGACUUAUGAAAAAACGGAUAAGUGGUUCCAUCAUUUAGUUUGGAUAUUUUGGGGUAAUUAAUUUACCCUACUGGUUAUAGAGUGUAAAGUCAACUUACAAGAAAAAAUAAAGAAGGAAAAGGACCUUCUGGAGUACACGUAAUAUGAAUUCAGUGUGUUUUGUUCCUUUCUCUUUUUGCCUUAAAGACCAUAUAGUCUCCAUUUCUAAAUGAAUUCCUGAAGCACUGGGAUUACUAAUUCAGCCUCAGGUCUUAAAUCAAUGGGACUUUUGCCUUCGGCUCCUUUGGUGAAGGACAUGAAGUGAGGAUGUGUCUACAAUAUUCAGCCUAAUCUAACAAAGAAAAGGAAGGCUUCAUGGGUAGAAAAAGCAGAAGCUAUGUAUUAUGGGAUAGUAUCUUGCAUUAGGAUCAGUUGCAGAAAUAUUUUCUUCAUUGUGUGCUGGCAUGAAAGACAUUAACUGCUUAAGAGAUUGCAUGCCUGAAAUGACAGUAAAUGAAGGAGGUGUGUCCAUGGCUAUAUUUUGGAGGUGCAGAGCCAGGAUCUGUAUUACUGACUUCAGAGGAGUUGUGCAGAGGAUGAGAGAGUGAGAAUGCAUCCUUUGGGAAUAAUUUAAAAUAGAUCAAAUUUAUCUCACUGAAGCAAAUGCUACCGAGUGCUUGGUAUUAAUAAUGCAUUGAAAGCUGCAGCCACAUGUGAUGUUUUCUUCACUCUUGAGGAAAAGGAUUAUUGUAAGCCUUGAAUGUUCCUUUCGUUGCUCCAGUCAGAGUAAUCUUGAGGGCUCUCAAGGUACUCAAGGAAGGCUUACAGGAAUGUAAGUGGGCUUUUCUGAAAGGAAAGAAACCAUCCUACCUUUUCACUUUGUUCCAGAGGAGUGUGUCUCCUGCCAUGGAAGAAUGAAAGGUCUGGAAUUACAUGCUACCUAGUGGAUUAAAAAAAGAUACCGCUUUCAGUUAAAUCCCUCAGGAUUGUUUCCUCUUAUGUCUUUUUACUUAUCAGUUCCUUUUUCCCUGGCUCAUACUUAAAGAAGUCAAAAGAUGCAGGUGUUUGAUCUCAUCCUCAGAGUGGAGGUCAGUGAGGCUGUGAACAUCUGUGUGAUUGAGGCAACCAGAUCUAAAGCCCUCUCCUGGGGUCCCAGAGCCCUUGGCACUGAUCUGAGACCCUGCAGUCUGGGACCAAGAGUGAGGUGUCUGUGCUCCCCUUCAGUGCAAAGGGUGUAGAUGUGCAGUGGUGCAUACUCAGCUUGGAGCUGCAGGGAGACAGCAAGUAGGACAUAGUACGGAUGGGUAUUUGAAAUCCUAUCCACCUCUGUUGCACCCAGCUUUACCAAAUGGCUGAACAGCCUGUACAGCAAAUGGAGGACCAAUGCAUUUGCCCUAGAAUCUGUUCAAAGUGUCAUGAUUUUCUUUUCAUACCAUGUGAGUGGCACUGUUAGUUACAACAGGAAAGGCUGAGGGCAUCUUCUCCCUCACUCGUACUAGACCAAACCUGUUAGUACUCUCUCCUGGCAGCAGAAGGAUGUGGCUGUCAACUGGUAUCGAGAAGAAAUGAGCUCUUGGCCCUAUGGAAAUGCUGUAGUAGGAUGCAAUACGCCGCCAAAUUGCGUAUUUUUUUUUUCCAUUCUCUCGGGCAGCACACCUAUUCUUAAACCACCAUGGUCACCCUCAAGGAGUUGCCCUGAAAGAUUUUGAGCUACUUCCUUUACAACAUGUGUUUCUGAAUAUGCGUUUUAUUCAAACAAGAUCUUACUGUAUUUUCUGCUUUUCUUCUGUUGUUUUCUAUUUAAUUCUCUAUGAAUUAAUAGAUGUGAUGACUACUAGUAUCAUCUGUUCAUGGUCUUCCAUCUCUUUCUCAGCCUAUAGGCAAAUACGCUACCAAGCUCUGGGUCUCACAUGCUUCCUUGCUACAACUGUCUGUGUAGGUUCUCACGAGACAAAUGCACCUACACAGGUCAUUAUCUUGGGCUUGCACUUCUUUUUUCAAAUUGCAGUUUCACAGUGCUCACUUCCAAACCUGUGUCCAUGUAGAGCGCUUCAUAAUUUCUGGCACAAAAAGAAUGAAAACUUAAAUGAGAUCUGUUAUGGCCAAUGGAAGUCUAUCGUAGAUGGCAGAUAGUGUGCAGAGUAACAGUUACUUGGUUUUAGUGGCACGAGGUGUUUUGGUAGAUUAACACCUUCUCACAUGACCUUGCAGAUUCACCCUGCAGAAACUGGUAAGGCAUUGGAAUCCAUAUCAGAGGAGCAAAUGGACCAUUUGCUGAUUUUAUAAAUCAGACAUCAGAAUCUCAGAAAUGUCUACAUCUGCAUUCUGGGGAGACCUGCAGAAGUACACUGUGCUUCACACAGAAGAGAAAAUUUUAAUCAGUGACUGAGAGUCAGCAAAUUCUUUUGAAGUUCAAAUAAACCUUUAUGCUCAA